CAGACCCUCCCAGACUCCCCAUAAUACUGGACGCUGGGUAUCAGCUUUCCCCACCUUCUCAACAUGAGAGGGUCCAGCCAGUCCUAUAAUCUGCUCUUAUGGUUGUUAUAAACAUGAAACACAGCCUCCAUAACUGCAGCCUAUGCUAUGCACGGUUUCUGCUUGAGGGGACAGGACCAUUUAUUUGCCUUCCCAUAGGUGCCCAGUUGCUGCUGCUCCAUUCUCUUACACGGCUACAGGACAGGGACCAGUAAACUGCAUACAGACAGAGGUUCACUGUCCUGCUGCUCUUCCCCUUGCUCCAUUUGGGUUGUUACAGAUGGACUUGGCCCCAUUACUGAAGGGCUGGGGUUGUCCUGGCCAAAAGCCCCAGUCCUGCACUCAGGGAGCAGGGUUAUGUGAGUGGCAGGCUCUGAAACCUUCUGUGCUUGCUCCUUCUUGUCAUGCCCAGUGCCCACCACAGCAGCUAUUUUGGGUCUGGUGUGUAACCAUCUGCUCAGCCUGGCACUGCUGUGCCAGCACGCAAAGCUGAUGAUGGGUUAGCUGACAGGAACAAUCUGGUUUCAUGGCCACGCUGUACCAGUCACUGACACCGCUAACGUACCUGCCUGGACAGCAUUUAGCAAUUUGGCACCAUAAGAAACCAGUGAACCAAUUGCCUGAGCAUUGCAUCUCCUCUAAAACAGAAGGGCAACAAUGAGGGCAAUUGCUUGAACUCUGCUUGGCUGUUUUCUCCGGUUCUUUUUAUACACCACUGAUUGUAUUUCCAGCAUUUCGCAUUUGGGGAGCUUCCUUCCUUCUGUACAGCUGAAGUCAGCAGCACUGACUGCCUCUCCCUCCCUCCAUGCUUUCUCUUCACCUUCUGAAUCAGUCCCUCCAGUUUAAGAGUUUUUCCCAAUUUUCAGGAAGGACAAACUUCUCCCGUAUGGUUUAGAAAACAAGUUGCUCAACCAAAGGAUAAGCCAAAUCCCGAUUCAAGUUGGUUUAUGGAAUCUCUCUGAUCCACACCUGGGAGCAACGGGGAGGCUUGAAGAAACCAGGAGCAACUCAGUUCUGAUUUCUGAGUAGAAAGAUGAGGACAAAAGAGCCCUGGGUCGUUUAUCCCCAAAGAGCAAUCCCAGAAGCUCUCAUUCCCCUCCGUCAGUACACUACUGCAUCCAGUCUUUGUUCUAACCACACUGCUAGGCUAACUCAGGUUGGCCAACACUGUUGUGCGUGGAAAGUGCCUUCUUACAAUCAUAGAAUCAUAGAAUCACCAAGGUUGGAAAAGACCCACAGGAUCAUCAGGUCCAACCAUACAUUCUUAUACAGUUAAUCAAGAAAGCUUCAGCUUUAUCAGUGAUCUAUAAGAUAUCUGGGCACACAGCAGCUCAGUUUGCGGGAAGAAAGUGGUGAGUGCAUCACUGAACAUGCAGAAGUGCAGAGAAAAGGAGGUGGGCUUUCUGCAUGCAAUAGAGGUUGGGGCAGCACCUUGUGGAUUCUACUCUCUUCAGUCCCAAUGGGCAGCAAGGUGACACUAGCAGUGCUAGGGGCUCUUGUCCUUCUGUUCCCUUCCUAAGAGUAAAGGUUGUGUUGGGAAGAAUUACAGGGCAGGUCCUGCAAACACCAAACAGACAGCAAAUCCCUGUCUGCCAGCUCAUCUUCUUUCCCUAACAGUGUAUGCUGAUUCCCAGCAGAGCCAGCCAGGGAUUUGAUACCCAGGCUUCAGCCCCAGAGCUUGUUCUGUGCUCUGAAAGCAGGUGAAAUUGCAAAAUGGAAGUCUUACAGGCCCUCCUCCUGGCCCCAAAGAACCAUACCAUGCUCCUGUCUGCCCCUUAAGGCACAUACUGUGCUUGUCUUCUGCAGAGCAGAUGGGAACCUAAAUUCCAUAUUUCAACAGUCUCCAUCACCUCUAAACAACCCCUUCUUUUCCCCAGGCCCCAUUGCUUUCUGCUCCCAUUUGGAUAUUUGGUUAUAUCACGAGCAGUCCCUGUGUAACCUCUGAAAGCAGCAAAAAGAAAGAGCUAAAGCCCCUCUCAGUGAAGGUUUGCCGUUGUACACAGCUGGGUCUCAUACUGCCUUCAUCAGAAGAGCUGAACCUUCUGCUCACAACUGGCAGGGCAGAAAAUAUUGUGAAUCACUACUUACUGUUUUUUGUGUUUUCUUUCUUCCUUUCUCUUACUUUUGGGGCUUGAGGAACUAAAUAAGAAACGGCUAAUUAAUUUGGAGAUGUCUGUUCUGAUUAAUAUAUAUUAUAUAUUAUAUAUAUAUAUAUUUAUAUAUAGCAUGAUAACACAUCAACAUUACAGCUAAACUGCCCAAAAACGUACAAUUAAAACGUUGAAGGGAUGAAUAUUUCUGCCUCGACACAGGGGGUCUCAGUUCCUGCUGGGAAACCUGGUUCAUGGGCUUGGACACAGUCCCCAUGGGAUCAGCCAACUUGCUGGCGUUACACUUUCCCAUAGGGAAGUUGGAUGCAUGCACUGGAAUCAGGACAGUUCUUCCAGUACGCACCUGGAAAGGCACUGAAUUGGAAUGUUUCCCCACUGCUGGGGAAUGCAUGCUGUUUGUGGGUGAAACCAUAAGAGGAAUAAAGUGCAGAAUGUAUCCAACAUGGACGAGGUUGCGAGACCCACGGGGGACGGGGGAACCAAGGGGAUUCCACAGUGAACAUCAACCUUGUGAGAUCCUGAGGAGACCAUUUCUAGGGGAUCACCCACACGUGCUCAACUCUUACCUGUGUCUUCUCUUCUUUGAGGAUAACCUGCAAGACACAAAGGUGCACACUGAGUGCAGCGUCCUACAAAACUGGAAGUUUGAAUCAGAGGCAAUCUGGUAAGGCCCAUCUCGAGGCUGAGCGCUAAGGAUACAAUGCACCAGCUGGACAGCCCUGGCUUCCUUUUAGCCAGCUGGGAAGAGGACAGAUGGUGCUGGUGGAAGUCACUGGCACACUGCAAAUAACUGAGCAUGUCGAAGAAUCAAACACCUCCUCUGUCCCUGGUGGAUUGCUUUUCUCUACUACUGCCUCCGCACUGCACUGAGUUUGAUGUAGAGGAAAAAGCAAACGCUGAAGCUAAUUAAUGUGGAGCACUGGGCUGAAAAUGUGAAAUGCAUGGGGGCUGGUGACCCUAAAGAAAGGCAGUGAAUGAUGGAAACUAGAGCACAGGGUCUGUGCCUCAGCAUCGCCACUGCUCAUCCCACUGGCUGGAGGUGCCACCAUCGGGACCUCGUGGUUGGAAAGCCAUCCUCAAAGGGAUGUGGGAUGUGGGCUCCAGCACAGCUCAGCCCCCUCCUCAUCUCAGGCCAUCGUCAGCCCUUGCCGUGUCUGUGCCAGGGCAUGGAGAACCUCCAGGCUGUGUGCUCAGCCAUAGGCAGCCUGCCUGGAGCCCUCCCCCUGCUCCCAAGAUGAAGCCUUUUGUCUUUGAAGUGGAAGCCUCAUCCCUGAGCUGAUCUAACUUUAAUUGUUCCUCUGUGAUUGUAAUCAGAGUCUAAUUAAAAAUACACUUUAGAUUA